rnacentral:rRNA from 1 species
AAAAAGCUCGUAGUUGGAGUUCUGUUGCGGAAAACUGGUCCGUCUAUCGGGCGGUAUUUAGAUUUUGCGUUUCAUCUUCUUGAAAAGCUUUGCUGUGCUUGAUUGCAUGGUGUGGGAAUCAGGACAUUUACUUUGAGGAAUUUAGAGUGUUUCAAGCAGGUUUGUGCUGAAAUAGCCUAGCAUGGAAUAAUAACAUGGGGUCUUGGUCUUGUUUGUUGGUUUCUAGGCUGAGGAAACAAUCAAUAGGGAUAGCUGGGGGGCAUUUGUACUUAACUGUCAGAGGUGAAAUUCUUGGAUUUGUUAAAGACAAACUACUGCGAAAGCAUUUGUCAAGGAUGUUUUCAUUGAUCAAGAACGACAGUUAAGGGAUCGAAGACGAUCAGAUACCGUCCUAGUCUUAACCAUAAACAAUGCCAUCUAGAGAUUGGAGGUAGUGCCAAGGAUUACUUCUUCAGCAUCAUUUGAGAAAUCAAAGCUGUUGGGUUCCGGGGGGAGUAUGGU